rnacentral:rRNA from 1 species
AGCAGCCGCGGUAAUUCCAGCUCCAAUAGCGUAUAUUAAAGUUGUUGCAGUUAAAAAGCUCGUAGUUGAAUUUCGGGAUCAAUAUGUUGGUCGUGCCUUGGUACGUACUGGCAUUAUCGAUUCCUACCUUCUGAAGAACCUUGAUGUCAUUAAUUUGGUGUCUUGGGGAAUCAGGACUGUUACUUUGAAAAAAUUAGAGUGUUUAAAGCAGGCUCGCGCUUGAAUACAUUAGCAUGGAAUAAUGAAAUAGGACGUUUGAUUCUAUUUUGUUGGUUUCUAGGAUCGACGUAAUGAUUAAUAGGGAUAGCUGGGGGCGAUUAGUAUUCAAUUGUCAGAGGUGAAAUUCUUGGAUUUAUUGAAGACUAACUACUGCGAAAGCAUUUGCCAAGGAUGUUUUCAUUAAUCAAGAACGAAAGUUAGGGGAUCGAAGACGAUCAGAUACCGUCGUAGUCUUAACCAUAAACUAUGCCGACUAGGGAUCGGAUGAUGUUAAUUUUUUAAUGACUCAUUCGGCGCCUUA